rnacentral:rRNA from 1 species
AGGAGAGUUUGAUCCUGGCUCAGGAUGAACGCUAGCGACAGGCCUAACACAUGCAAGUCGAGCGGCAGCACCUCGGGUGGCGAGCGGCGCACGGGUGAGUAACGCGUAUGUAACCUGCCCAUGAGUGGGGGAUAGCCCGGUGAAAACCGGAUUAAUACCCCAUGACACCAUUGUCUGACAUCAUUUAAUGGUUAAAGAUUCAUUGCUCAUGGAUGGACAUGCGUUGGAUUAGCUAGUCGGCGGGGCAACGGCCCACCGAGGCUACGAUCCAUAGGGGUUCUGAGAGGAAGGUCCCCCACAUUGGUACUGAGACACGGACCAAACUCCUACGGGAGGCAGCAGUGAGGAAUAUUGGUCAAUGGGCGGAAGCCUGAACCAGCCAAGUCGCGUGAAGGAUGAAGGUAUUAUGUAUUGUAAACUUCUUUAGCUGUGGAGAAAUAAGGGGCAUGCAUGCCCUGAUGCUAGUACACAGAGAAUAAGGAUCGGCUAACUCCGUGCCAGCAGCCGCGGUAAUACGGAGGAUCCGAGCGUUAUCCGGAUUCAUUGGGUUUAAAGGGUGCGCAGGCGGUGCCUUAAGUCAGCGGUAAAAUCGUGGGGCUCAACCCCAUCCCGCCGUUGAUACUGGGGCACUUGAUUACGGUCGAGGCAGGCGGAAUUCGUCGUGUAGCGGUGAAAUGCAUAGAUAUGACGAAGCACACCGAUUGCGUAGGCAGCCUACCAGGCCGUUAAUGACGCUCAUGCACGAAAGUGCGGGGAUCGAACAGGAUUAGAUACCCUGGUAGUCCCCU